AUAAAUUAUUCCAUAUUUUGUUGGCUUUUUGGUGGACUAUUCAGUAAAAGAAUUGACUUUUGGUGGGACACGCAGAUAAGCGAAGCUUAUCUCCGAGGGAGACUAACAAGAGCUCACUUCCUUCAGAAAUUUCACCAGUUUUGCACAUUUCCAAAUUUCCACCAAAGAUUCACACAUUGAGAAGAACGGCGCAAGAUAAGGGAAGUUGGACACUGCGAUUGGAAAUUGCGAUUUGAGUAGGGAAAAAUUUUUUUACUCUGCAUCCCGAACUCACACGUUACACCCAACUUUUAAGGAGGAGUCGUUGAGAAAGGGGUCGAUGGAUUCUAGUGGAGGAAGUUCCGAACAGUACGAGACGCUGGACGGGAUGGAGGUCACCCAGAAGUUGCUCGAAGGACAGAAAGCUCUCGUCGUCACAACGGAGAAAGUCGACAAAGGGGAAAGUUUUCAAGUGAACGGACGACUUCUUGAUCGACAGACUCAUUCCAUGCAACCAUGUCCAACAGCACGUGACGAUGACCACGUGUCCUCCUCUUCACCCAACAACAGAUCAUCAAAAGCCAAAGAGUUAGCCCGAAAAGGGAAUGAACGUGGUCGUCGCGUCGUGGGGAAAUCUUCCGAUGCAAAACCUGGCUUCGUGCCUUCACCAACAGAACCUGUGUUCGCCUCCACGUCCGCACCCACCUCAACCGCGACGAGCUGGAGCGGUCCUCACUUUUCCAUGAGAAAUGUCCCCACUGCCAAAAAGUGUUCUUUCUCCGUCAGCAAUUUAUCGACCACGUGAAUGUGCA